CCCCCCCCCCAGAACCCUUCCCUACUUUGGGAGUUCUCAGUUUUGUAGCAAGCAAUGCAGAGUAACACAGUAGUAGAGGGGAGGGUGUCCUGUGUCAUAGAGUUUACAGGUAGGUCAAAAUUUCUAUUAUCUUAAUUGUACGUUACAGGACACAAGCUAAGUAUUCAUAGACGCUGGGAACUAUAAAAGCAUCCAAUGAGGAUCCUUUGUCUUGGCCAAAAAUAGAGGUAACUUGUUGAAGAAAUCGGAAGCCAGAAUAUACACACAUUGGGUACCCCAUCUCUGACAUAUCAGACUCAAGAUGUCAGGGUGAAGGGGCAGGCAGUGAACUUCCUUCAAGGUGAUUGAGGUAGGCCACAGUUGCAGUAUUGUCUUAUUGCACCCUGAUUGGAUGCCCUUGAAGAAGGGGGGUCCAGCAGUACAGAUCCGACCUUAUCACCCUGAGCUCCAGGGUGUUGAUGGGGAGAUGGACUUCCUCUGGUGACCAGGAACCCUGAUCUGUGAGGGAUUGAAACACUUUUCCCCACCCUGAAAGACUGGCAUCUGUCGGUAUUACCUUUCAGUGUUAUGACAGAAAUUAAUUUACAAUUGUCAAGGGUGGGUUGGCAAUACACCAAGCUUGGCAAUUCCUUGCUUGACUGAAUAUGGAGUAUGCGUGGAUAGAAGAAAGAGGAGCAUGCUUGUUCCAUGCCAACCAGCUGUUGUAUUGGGGAGCUAUUAAGGAAAUUAGGUGAAAUGGGACAGCCUUGAAGAAGGCUAUUAUGUGACCCACAACUCUCAUGGAGAAUCUUACAGGGGAUGCCUCUUUGAUCCCUGGCCCCAAGUAUGGGUUUUGAGAGAGAGAAGUUAUUUCUCUGAAAGAAAGAUUUUUGCUUGAGCUGUGUCUAGAAUAAUGCCCAAGUAUUCCAGGCAAAGAGAAGGUCGGAGUGCAGAUUUUUGGAAGCUGAUCACCCAAUUAAUGAACACUGUGAACAUUUGCAGAUAGAUGGAAGAGAGAUGAGUCCUUCAGAAGAAGGUAAUCUAGAUAACCUGUAACUUGGAUGCCGAGUACUUAAAAAGGCAAGAAGAGGUGCAAGGAAUGGCCAAGUAGCAGUUUGACAAACUGGAAGUGAAUAUCUCCUACUGCAAAGUCACAGGCUCUCUGUUCUACCCUUACAGGCUCAGCGGAUUGCUGAGAGCCUGAGCCAGAUGCCGGUAUAGGCAUCUGGGUGAAUUCCAUCCAUAUGGUCAGGAUCUUUCCUGAGCCUGGACCAGCUGAGUGACAUUAGCCGUCAGCGUGCUUUAGCGUGUCACAGGAGUGCCGAACAAACUGCUUGAUCCAUAGGAGAUCCAUAAGAGGAGUACAGCCAAAAAAGCUUUGGCCAUACUUCUCCUUUUAAUUGUUACAUGGUGUGGAAAUGUGGACUGCCUAUUUCACAGUUGUCUAAGAGGAGCCCCAACGUGCUUAUCACCACUGUCAUCUACUUGAGGCUCCUCUAGAAUUGUAUACCCAGCAGACUUUUGUGGUCCACAUUGGGUGUCAACCCAAGAGAAUUUUGAUAACCCCAAAGGGAUGCUGGUUGUACAAGCCUCAAGAAGAACACAGUGGUCAUGUGUGCUGUGGGACCCCUCUGAGACAGCUGGGGAAUAGCAGGCCACCUUUCUACCACAUAUGCUGAUUAAACUCAGUGUUUACAGGGAAAUGUAGUUAUGGCAGUUAAUUUAACAUUACAUGUCAGUGGCAUCAACUUCACAGAAGUUUCCCUCUACAGGUUGCCAACCUUUGAACUGCACACAUGGAAAAUGUAGUCAGGCCAUGGCAGUACAACAGAGAUCCAGGAUUCUUUACAUGCAGAGGCUGCAAAAAAAGCUGUUCCCUGCGUUUAACUUUCUGGAGCAAUAUCUCAUCUCUAACAACAAUAAAUAAGUACACUGUGAUUUCAUGCCUGACUUGUUAAUAAUGGCUUCAUCCCACAACACAGAAGAUGAUUUCCUGCCUGGGAGAGAAUAAGAGACAUUACAUUCAAGUUAUACAAUACAAUACAUAAAUACAGCCACAGUCCUGAAGUUAAUAAGUUUCAUAUUUAUUGAAACAAAAAAAUAUAUACUAUCAGUGACAAAUAAGAUUUCCAUAUCUUUGUUAUUAUUAUUCCUCAGGUGCUACAGGCAAGUAUGAUGAUGGAGGACACAUAAUAUGUACAGGCUCUAUAGAAACAGACAUAAACUGCAUGAUCUAUUGGUAAAGUACAACAGUGCCAAUAAACAAGUUGGUAAGUUACAAGGCUACAAUAGUUCACAAAAAACAAAAAAAAGAUAUUAAAUAAGUACUCAAUAGGCAGUGUUCAGACAUAUUUGUAAUGGGAGUUACUAAUGCGCUAACCACACCGGGUAUAAAUACACGACUAAAAUUAUAAAUAUACACAAGCAGCAGCCAUAGCAAAAUAAGUGUUCACACGCUAAAAACAGUUUGUUAAAGAAACAAGCUAUAUACAAUCCCAAUGCAGUUUAAAAAGAAAUAAAAGUCCUGCUGUGUCCAAAUACUCACUAUUUCAGGGGUCCACAUGGCGCUUUGGCUCCUUUCACAUUAGUGGCGGUAUUUCCCACUACCCUGAAAAGCGAUCAACUGUGGAUGGUGAAAGUUUUUUUAGGCAUUAAGGAGGUGAUGCUGCCACCUUCUGAUGCCUGUUAUUUUUUUGCCUUUUUUUUUAUUUUUUUUAUGGAAUGUCAAUUUAGCAUUAGCUGGGGGUUGCAGCAUGGCCCCAUUCACUUACAUGGGGUGGUCAAAGCAUGGUAAAAACAAAAAUCAAUCACCUUUUUUACAUCAUUCACUGGCUGUGUGAAAGGAAAAUGUAAAACAAUUUAAACCUGCAGCAUGUCUGUGUUGCUCUCCCAUCCUGUGCACCUCAUGAAAA